AUUGAACGCUGGCGGCAUGCCUUACACAUGCAAGUCGAACGGCAGCACGGGAGCAAUCCUGGUGGCGAGUGGCGAACGGGUGAGUAAAGUAUCGGAACGUGCCCAGUCGUGGGGGAUAACGUAGCGAAAGUUACGCUAAUUCCGCAUACGAUCUAUGGAUGAAAGCGGGGGAUCGCAAGACCUCGCGCGAUUGGAGCGGCCGAUAUAAGAUUAGGUAGUUGGUGGGGUAAAGGCUCACCAAGCCGACGAUCUGUAGCUGGUCUGAGAGGACGACCAAACAGAAUGGGACUGAGACACGGCCCAGGGUCAUACGGGAGGCAGCAGUGAGGAAUGUUGAGCAAUGGGCGAAAGCCUGAUCCAGCCAUGCCGCGUGCAGGAUGAAGGCCUUCGGGUUGUACACUGCUUUUGUACGGAACGAAAAGGUUUGGCCUAAUAAGCUGAGCUCAUGACGGUACCGUAAGAAUAAGCACCGGCUAACUACGUGCCAGCCGCCGCAGUAA
rnacentral:rRNA from 1 species